rnacentral:rRNA from 1 species
AUGGCGAGAAGGUCACACCCGUUCCCAUCCCGAACACGGUAGUUAAGCUUCUCUGCGCCAAUGGUAGUUGGGGGCUUCCCCCUGCGAGAGUAGGUC